rnacentral:miRNA from 1 species
UUUACAAACAGAAGUUAUUUACU